AGCUCCAAUAGCGUAUAUUAAAGUUGCUGCAGUUAAAAAGCUCGUAGUUGCAUUUCCGAGGCAAGGGAUUAGUCCGACCUUUGGUGGGUAUUUAAUCCUCUUGCCUCGUCCUUGAGUGGUGCUUCUUGGUAUUAAGUUAUCGAGGAGAUAGCCGCUCAUCGUUUACUGUGAGAAAAUUAGAGUGUUCAAAGCAGGCUUAUGCCGUUGAAUAUAUUAGCAUGGAAUAAUAAGAUAGGACCUCGGUACUAUUUUGUUGUUUUGAGAACCAAGGUAAUGAUGAAUAGGGACAGUUGGGAGUAUUCGUAUUCAGUUGUCAGAGGUGAAAUUCUUAGAUUUACGGAAGACGAACUACUGCGAAAGCAUUUACCAAGGAUGUUUUCA
rnacentral:rRNA from 1 species